rnacentral:miRNA from 1 species
ACACACACACACACACACACACACGUGUGUGUGUGUGUGUGUGUGU